rnacentral:rRNA from 1 species
AGCGAACGCUGGCGGUAGGCCUAAUACAUGCAAGUCGAACGGCCGCACUGUACGAGCUUGCUCUUAAGGGUGGAGAGUGACGGACGGGUGAGGAAUACAUCGGUAUCUACUUUUUCGUGGGGGAUAACGUAGGGAAACUUACGCUUAUCUAGUAUACCACCUUAGGGUGUAUGCCGGGGAUAUUCGUUGCUUGCGCGAAUGAAUGCGCCGAUGUCGGAUUCGCAAGUUGGUGGGGUAAAGGCCCACCAAGCGGACGAUCCGUAGCUGGUCUGAUAGGAUGACCAGCCACACUGGAACUAGGACACGGUCCAGACUCCUACGGGAGGCAGCAGUGGGGAAUAUUGGACAAUGGGCGCAGUCCUGAUCCAGCCAGACCGCGUAGUUGAGGAAGGCCUUCGGGUUGUAAAGCCCGUUUGUUGGGAAAGAAAAGCAGCAGAGUAAUACCCCGCUGUUCUGACGGUACCCAAAGAGUAAGCACCGGCUAACUUCGUG